rnacentral:rRNA from 1 species
UGCAAGUCGUGCGAGAAAGUAUCUUCGGAUAUGAGUAGAGCGGCGGACGGGUGAGUAACGCGUAGGAAUCUACCUAGUAGAAGGGGAUAGCCCGGGGAAACCCGGAUUAAUACCGUAUACCUCCUUCGGGAGAAAGAAGGCCUCUCUUUGAAGCUUUCGCUAUUAGAUGAGCCUGCGUAAGAUUAGCUUGUUGGUGAGGUAAAGGCUCACCAAGGCGACGAUCUUUAGCUGGUCUGAGAGGACGAUCAGCCACAUUGGGACUGAGACACGGCCCAGACUCCUACGGGAGGCAGCAGUGGGGAAUAUUGGACAAUGGGCGCAAGCCUGAUCCAGCCAUACCGCGUGUGUGAAGAAGGCCUUCGGGUUGUAAAGCACUUUAAGCAGGGAGAAAAAGUUAUAAGUUAAUACCUUAUAACCGUGAUGUUACCUGCAGAAUAAGCACCGGCUAAUUCCGUGCCAGCAGCCGCGGUAA